UACGUAGGGGGCCAGCGUUGCUCGGAAUUACUGGGCGUAAAGGGUCCGUAGGCGGUGUAGCAAGUCGAUAGUGAAAUCUCUGGGCUUAACCCAGAGGCUGCUAACGAAACUGCUGUGCUAGAGUGUGAGAGAGGCGAGUGGAAUUCCACGUGUAGCGGUGAAAUGCGUAGAGAUGUGGAGGAACACCAGUGGCGAAGGCGACUCUUUGGCCUGUAACUGACGCUGAGGCGCGAAAGCGUGGGGAGCAAACAGG
rnacentral:rRNA from 1 species